UACGAAGGGGGCUAGCGUUGCUCGGAAUCACUGGGCGUAAAGGGUGCGUAGGCGGGUCUUUUAAGUCAGGGGUGAAAUCCUGGAGCUCAACUCCAGAACUGCCUUUGAUACUGAGGAUCUUGAGUUCGGGAGAGGUGAGUGGAACUGCGAGUGUAGAGGUGAAAUUCGUAGAUAUUCGCAAGAACACCAGUGGCGAAGGCGCUCACUGGCCCGGUACUGACGCUGAGGUGCGAAAGCGUGGGGAGCAAACAGGG
rnacentral:rRNA from 1 species